GUUAAAAGGUAACAUGGGUGCGACAUGGAAUUUUGGUCAAAGUUAAACACCACCAACCUUCCACUAUCACCAUCCUCAACCUGAGACCACCACCAUCUUCAACCUCCCAAAAAUCCAAGCCCUAAAUCGAUAGAUCGGCGAUGAGAACCCAAAACCAAGCCCUAAAUUGGUAGAUCGGUGUCGAAGAUUCAUAUCUUUGUGGGUUCUGGAAAAAAGAUUCAGGUCCUUGCGCUUGCUAAAUAAUUCACAUCAACCAGGGUCUAACAAUCACGUGCUCCUUCCACGCGACUCGCAUUUUGUAUGCUCAAAGUCAGAGAAUAAACCCUAAAAGGUUACGCUUAUCAGAGCUGAUUACCGUCGAUCGUGCGAUCAUUCUCUCAUCGGCAGAAUCAAAGUAUAAUAAUUAGCAGAUAUGGUGAAGGAUUCGAUGGACAAGACAGAUCAUGAAGCAAGCAUUUCAAAAAAGCCGAGAACGAAAAAGGUAGAAAUAACCCGACCUAUUCCACCAGCCCCCGCCUUAGCUCUAGCGACAUCAAACAAUACUAGAAGAACUAUACUUGCUCCAUCAUCUGCAGCCUCAGCCCUAGAAACAUCUAGUACUCUGAGAAGCACUAAACCUGCAUCAUCAACUUCAAGCAUACCCACCAGACCUCUUGCAACGUCAAAGGGUACUAAAAGCAAAAAAGCACCAACCGGACCUCCUGUAUUGUCGAAGGAUACAAAAACCAAAGAACCAGAAGGACUUUUUGCAUGCGCUACUCUCCAUCAAGAUAGAAAGCAUGAAUGAUGAUGUAAUUGAUGCUCUCCAAUGAUUUCUAUAUGUCCAAAGUUAUAGACACAUUCGAAGAUAAUCAAUUCAAAAUGAAUUUGACUUUUUCCUGCA